rnacentral:rRNA from 1 species
UAGGCGUAAAUGAUGCGAGUUAAGUGUGGGGGCGAUCUACGAGAUGGCCCUCGUGCUGUAGGGUAGCCGUUAAACUCGCUGCCUGGGGAGGUACGGUCGCAAGGCUGAAACUUAAAGGAAUUGGCGGGGGAGGCACCACAACGGGUGGAGCCUGCGGUUUAAUUGGACUCAACGCCGGGAAGCUCACCGGAUAAGACAGCGGAAUGAUUGCCGGGCUGAAGACCCUGCAUGACCAGCUGAGAGGUGGUGCAUGGCGUAGUCGUGU